GACGAACGCUGGCGGCGUGCUUAACACAUGCAAGUCGAACGCUGAACCCGCUUCGGUGGGGGUUGAGUGGCGAACGGGUGAGUAACACGUGGGCAACCUUCCCCCGGCUCUGGGAUAACUCCAAGUACUUGGGGCUAGUACCAGAUGUGACCGCUGGCCGCAUGGUCUUGUGGUGGUAAGGAUUUACGGCUGGGGUUGGGCCCGCGGCCUAUGAGCUACUUGGUGGGGUAGUGGCCUACGAAGGCGCCGACGGGUAGCCGGCCUGGGAGGGGGACCGGCCACACUGGGACUGAGAGAGGGCCCAGACGCCUACGGGAGGCAGCAGUGGGGAAUAUUGCGCAAUGGGCGGAAGCGUGACGCAGCGACGCCGCGUGGGGGAUGACGGCCUUCGGGUGGUAAACAUCUGUCAGCAGGGACGAAGCGCAAGUGACGGUACCUGAAGAAGAAGCACCGGCCAACUACGUG
rnacentral:rRNA from 1 species